rnacentral:rRNA from 1 species
GGGUCAGUAGGUUGGUCGUGCCACCGGUACGUACUGGUCUCACUGAUUCCUCCUUCCUGAAGAACCGUAAUGCCAUUAAUUUGGUGUUGCGGGGAAACAGGACUGUUACUUUGAAAAAAUUAGAGCGUUUAAAGCAAGCUAACGCUUGAAUACCUUAGCAUGGAAUAAUGAAAUAGGACGAUCGAUCCUAUUUUGUUGGUUUCUAGGAUUGACGUA